UACGGAGGGGGCUAGCGUUGUUCGGAAUUACUGGGCGUAAAGCGCGCGUAGGCGGACCUGCAAGUCGGGGGGGAAAGCCCGAGGCUCAACCUCGGAACUGCCUUCGAUACUGCGGGUCUCGAGUCCGGGAGAGGUGAGUGGAAUUCCUAGUGUAGAGGUGAAAUUCGUAGAUAUUAGGAAGAACACCAGUGGCGAAGGCGGCUCACUGGCCCGGUACUGACGCUGAGGCGCGAAAGCGUGGGGAGCAAACAGG
rnacentral:rRNA from 1 species